ensembl:lncRNA
GCAAGAAAGUGAAGUGUAGGAAGUCAGACUCCAGUCCGACCAUUAAAAACUCCCCAGGGGGAGCCGUGUAACAUGAGGAGGAGUCUCCAGCUCUGCUGCUGCCCCCAUCUCAAAGACCCUAGGGGUUAGGGAUGGAGAUCGCUGGGGCCCCCUGCUCCCAGCCCCCCCUCACACCAGUGAAUGUUCCCCUUCUAUAUGAGCUGCCUGUGCCCCAAACUGGACUCCUCACCCCACAGGGAGUGCCCAGGGCCCAAAGCAUUGAGCCCCCUUGGGGGACAGGGCUGGCCCCCCUCCCUGAGGCUUCUGCAAUAAAAUCCACUCCUAUUCCUCCUCGUGGACCUAGGCAUACAGUCCCCUGGUCCCCUUCUAGGACCCAGACAUACACUCCUUGCCUUGCCUCCUUCCUAGAAUCCAGGUAUCCACUCCCUCAACUCCUCCCCUAGAUCCCAGGUAUCCAGACCACCCCCUCAACCCCUGCUGCCCUCCUGACUCAGGCGUCUGAGCCCUGACCCCCUGUUUGUUACCUUCUGAGCUCAAUAAAUGUGGAUUCAGGGUUUUUUCCCUCUGGUCUCUCUGUGUCCUUCCUGGUUCUUGUUUGGCGGGGAGAGGAAAGAAUAAAAUAAGUCACCCCCCCUUAAGAUAAAGGGAAGGGAAAGUGAGAGAAUACCAAAGACCCUGUAUCUCCUCCUUCCCCCUUCCUCCCAACCUGACUGUUCUGCUUAUUUUCCCUGUUAGAGAACAUGUAGGGACUUCCAAGAUGUCCACCCCUGUCCCGCUUCCCCUCAGGGCAUCUCUUAUACCUCACCCCCACAUUCUCCCAUACUGGGGUGUCCCUCACUCUACCCCUGCGUAGUCUCUCUCUGGCUCCCGCCCCUGGCUUUGAAGCCAGGAAGCCAAAGAGGAAAUGACUCUCCCAGUCUUGGCCCCCGCCCGCCCCGUUCUCACACCCCCCUCCCACCUCGGCUCCCCACCCCGCCCUGCCUGUCCCCACCAGGCCAAGGCCACUAGCUCCGGACCCCCCAGCUCCAAGAUGUCAGCUUCAGGCCACCUCUACUUCCUCUUCCUCCUCCUGGGCUUGGCCCCAUCUUCAUGGACCCAAGGUACAUCGAUGGCCCCCUACUUAGACAUGGUGGAGAAGAACCAUUCAACCCCAUCCGAGGAGCCACUUGCUUCAAGCUUAAGCACAGCUCGAAGCCCAACCACCUCGGAGCUCCAGCUGACUUCGAGGGAUCCCACCAAGGAUGGUGAGGACACAGGCCAAACCCAGCCAGAGGAUAAGGUGGAAACGACUUCAGCAAUGGGUAACUUAGAGCCUAGAACUGUGGCCAGCAGAACAAGACCCCAGACUCCAUCCAUCUCUUCUGGUGAGGAGGAGUGGGAUCCCUUCAAAAGCAAUGAAUAUACGCUCCGAAAGAGGGGCUUAAUUGCAGCGGCUAUACUCUUUAUCACAGGCAUCCUCAUCCUCACCAGCGAUCGGUGCCGCCAGUUCCGCUGGUGCAGAAGGCAGCAGCGAAGUGCCUACAGGGUGACCCAAGCCUGAGGCCCCAGACUCUAAUGAAGAGGUAUCAAUGGAGCCGUAGCGGUGGAAGGACCCCCCAGACUCCAACCAAGCCUGAGACUCAGGGAGCUCUGGGAAGAAAGCACCACUGACCACUUUGUGUGGCCUCUCACCAUCAUGGCCUCUUUCUCAAGAAGGCACAUGCUCCCCCAGUUUCUAGGUCUCCCUGGUCUCUGACAUCCCCCCGGCCCAGACCCCACAUUUCUCAGCACUUAGCUUGGUACCAAAUGCUCAAUAAACGUUUGCGGGACAAACGGAUGAAUGAAUGU